UGUCAACAUAAUAUGAAUAUUUACAGCUAACAAUGCUGUAAAUGUGAAUCUUUUAAUUAUUCAUGUAAACAGCUUGUUAGGCGUACUAUUAUUUGUGGACUAAGUGAAUGUAACAUAGUCGUGUGACUCCAAACAUUGAUUCCUCUAAACGGGUUUAAACAAAACGAGAAAAAGUGUUUGUAAAUGUCUAUGAACUAAUAUUCUGUUUUCUGUGAAGUUCAUGGACCAACGGAAUGAAACUAACAGGAGAUAUAAAGUUAAGCUGUUCAUCACAUGACAUGUAAUCACCAGCACGUUGGUGCAGAUACGAGUAAAUGCUCUUUAUAUAUAUAAACACUUGGCUGCCUCUCGACGGGAGCUCAACUCCGUUUAAAACAAACUCAAAAGAUCUUUAAGAAGAAACAGAGCCAAUCUGUCGCCAACAUGACUAAUCCUGCUGGCAGAGGCUCUGCGCGGUUACCACGGUUACCACGGCAACGAGGGGGGUGUGCCAUCCACGACGCGGUACGAAGGGCUGCAGGAGGAUGCGUUUACCGUCGGCCCAUCCGUGUCAAUAAGAGGAAUACUGAGCUGGAGUCAUCGCAGCCGUAGGGUCACAGCAGCGGCACAUGUUUGUAGUCGUCUCUAAUCAACUAAUGACUUCAUUAAUCCGCUUAAGCUCCUCUUUUGUGGAACCAGCUUCCACUUUCUGUCCAGGGGGCAGAUUCGGUCAGCUCAUCUAAGAUAAAGCUUAAGACUUUCCUCUUUGAUAUGGCUUAUAGUUAGGGCUGGCUCAGGUUAGUCUGGACCAGCCCUUAGUUAAGCUGCUGUAGGCUUAGACUCACAGGUUUCCAUGCAUCAUGGUUCUAUCUGGAUCCUGUUCCUGCCUCCUGCCGUGGCCCUGCUGACACCUGCUGCUGCCAUCAUCAGUAUUAUUACUAUUUUAAAUAUGAAUCAUAUUACUAUUACUGUCCACAUAAACCACCAUUUCCUAAAGGCGUGUGCUUUUCCUCCCCACAGGCUUCUGUGGAUGGUGGUUCUAUGUGAUGGUGGUUCUAUGAGGUGGGGGUUCUAUCUGAUGGUGGUUCUAUGGGAUGGUGGUUCUAUCUGAUGGUGGUUCUAUGAGGUGGUCGUUCUAUGUGAUGGUGGUUCUAUGAGGUGGUCGUUCUAUGUGAUGGUGGUUCUAUGAGGUGGUCGUUCUAUCUGAUGGUGGUUCUAUGAGGUGGUGGUUCUAUGGGAUGGUGGUUCUAUCUGAUGGUGGUUCUAUGUGAUGGUGGUUCUCUCUGAUGGUGGUUCUAUGUGAUGGUGGUUCUAUGUGAUGGUGGUGGUCCCUGCAGUGGUCCUGCAGUACACCUGCUCACUACUCCCAUUAUUUGAAUCAUCUCUGUCAUAUGAAUUGAAUGUAUCGUUCAUCUUCCACAUUGUUCAUUCUGUCCUCAUGACAUCAUCGUAGUCUGUCCAUCAGGAGACGGAUCCUCCUCUGACGUUCUCACUGAGGGUUCUUCCCUUUUCUCCCCAUGGAAGGGUUUCAUUGUUUGGGGAGUUUUUCCUGUGAGGGUAUCUGGACAGAGGAUGUCACAUGUGUACAGACUAAUACCCACUGAGGCAAAUUUGUAAUUUGCAAUUUUAGCUCUACAAAAUAAAAUAAAUUGAAUUGAAUUCAUUAUUUUCUAAUUGAUUUGUGACUUGGUCAACGUUUCUCUUAUAUCAUAAUCAAUUAGAUAUUUUUAUAGCUCAACAAUCCAAAAUCCCACAUUUCCCUUAGAGGGAUUUUAGAAUCUGUUUCAGAACAUAGCGACAUGAUGGAGCCUCACGUCUCUCAUCCGAUCUCCUAUAAUAAUCUACAAUAAUACAGGAGAACUCUAUUGGACCGAGCGGAUGUGUUUUAGUGAUAAACCACACAGGUGACCUCAGCAGGUCGCAGGUCUGCCGUGCGUUCAUGGUCCUCUUGAUUGUUCACCCUACAGAUGACUUGUUAGGCCACAAUUAGGCCUGACCUCUGACCUCACCUGCCACCAGAGUGCCAUUCAGGUUCCAUUUAAAAUCAUUUAAAUGCCUUUUUAGUAAUACACCAAUCAUAUAAUAAUACAUACGUCGAGGUUCAAGGAGAAGAGGUUUACAUUACGUUUCCAUGAAAUAUGAGAUCAUUCUGUCAACACAGUUGACAGAAUGAUCCAUAAAGAAGAAAACCCGUCUGUCUUCCCGCAGCCUGACCCUGCUCCGGUGCGCUCUGUUAAUGGGCCCUGAACGCCUCACGGGGCCCUCUCUUUGUCCCCUCCAUCUCACCGCCUCCGUCUCUGCAGAGAAACACC
ensembl:lncRNA